UAAAAAAUGAGUAAUUGUGUUUACAAUUUCUCUAUCGUUUUUCUUUUCUUACCCUUUUCUGAGUUUUAGCUCUUACCUUUUAACUAUUGGAUUUGAUGAUGUGCAUAAGGAGUUGGAGUUUUAUCUUGUUAACUAAGCUAAAGGUCUUAAGAAAGUUGUAAAUAAAUUUCUGCUGCAGGUCUUCAUCUAAAAAAUGCUAAGAAUUUUGAAAUCGAUAAUGUUUGUUCCAAUUCAUACAUCAACCAUCCAAUUUUAGAAGAUCAAGACAAACAGAAAUUACACACUAAAGGUGACUCAACCUAAAGUUUAAUUGUGCUUUUCAUCUUAGUUUCUGAAAAACUCAUAUGACUUGAGUAAUCGAAAACAUAGAGCUUCAAGUCCAAUCAGCAUUUUGAGUAGGGAAAUCCUAAGUUUGCUACUAAUUUCAUAUCCAAGUUUCCACGUUGAUCCAGAAAUCAAAUCGAAUUGUGAAUUUCAAUCAAUCACCUAAGGUUUUCCUAAAUGUGGGACAUCAGAUACAUCAUGUAAUUAUGUCAUACCCUGACCAUAGUCAAAAUUUAAAGCUCAAAAACAUAUAAACUGAAAAAUGAAAAAGACAAUAAUCAAAUUGAUAGUCUUGAACAUACAAGACCAGAAGAAAAAACCGUACACUUGCCUUUAAUAUCUUAGUCAGCUUUGAAUCAAAAUCAGAUGGUAACUUUUCCGAAGGAUAUCUCAGCCAUUCUAAUACUUUUAAA
rnacentral:lncRNA from 1 species